rnacentral:rRNA from 1 species
AGGGGGUUUGAUCCUGGCUCAGAAUGAACGUUGGCGGCGUGGAUUAGGCAUGCAAGUCGCGCGAGAAGUUUUCCUUCGGGAGAAUGGAAAGCGGCGAAAGGGAGAGUAACGCGUGGACUACCUACCCCAGGGACCGGAAUAGCUGCGGGAAACUGCAGGUAAUGCCGGAUAACGUCCCCGGACCAAAGGUGCGAUUCCGCCCUGGGAGGGGUCCGCGUCCUAUUAGCUAGAUGGUGAGGUAACGGCUCACCAUGGCGACGAUGGGUAGCGGGCGUGAGAGCGUGGCCCGUCUCACUGGGACUGANACACUGCCCAGACACCUACGGGUGGCUGCAGUCGAGAAUCUUCGGCAAUGGGCGCAAGCCUGACCGAGCGACGCCNCGUGCGGGAAUGAAGGCCUUUCGGGUUGUAAACCGCUGUCAGAAGGGGAAUUAAAACAUGGGGGUUUCUCUCCCAUGUUUGAACUAUCCUCCAAAGAAGCCCAGGCUUAAUUUCG